UUAAGAUUCAGCUCUAAAUUAUCUG
rnacentral:piRNA from 1 species